AGCCGUAAAAUAUUUACUUACACCUUUAACCGCCUGGGAAUUACGAGCCCAAGCUUAAAACCCAAAGGACUUGACGGUGUCCCACCCACCUAGAGGAGCCUGUUCUAUAAUCGAUUCCCCCCGAUAUACCUCACCAUUUCUAGCCUUUCAGCCUGUAUACCUCCGUCGUAAGCUUACCAUAUGAACGUUUCUCAGUGAGCUAAAAGAUUUCUUCAUAAAUACGUCAGGUCAAGGUGCAGCCCACGAAAUGGUAAGCAAUGGGCUACAAUUUCUACAAUAGAACAUAACGAAAGACUACAUGCAACCCAGUCAUGAAGGCGGAUUUAGCAGUAAAAAGGAAGUAGAGAGUUCUUUUUAAUUAGGCGCUGGGACGCGUACACACCGCCCGUCAC
rnacentral:rRNA from 1 species